CAGCCGCCGCGGUAAUACCGGCGGCCCGAGUGGCGGUCACUAUUAUUGGGCUUAAAGCGUCCGUAGCCGGGUUGGGAAGUCCUCCGGGAAAUCUGGCCGCUUAACGGUCAGAAUGCCGGAGGAUACUCCCAGCCUAGGGAGCGGGAGAGGCCGAGGGUAUUCCCGGAGUAGGGGUGAAAUCCUAUAAUCCCGGGAGGACCUCCUGUGGCGAAGGCGCUCGGCUGGAACGCGUCCGACGGUGAGGGACGAAGGCCAGGGGAGCAAACCGGAUUAGAUACCCGGGUAGUCCUGGCUGUAAACGAUGCGGACUUUGUGUCGGACAAGCUAUGAGCUUGUCCGGUGCCGGAGGGAAACCGUUAAGUCCGCCGCCUGGGGAGUACGGCCGCAAGGCUGAAACUUAAAGGAAUUGGCGGG
rnacentral:rRNA from 1 species